UGGGGAAUAUUGCACAAUGGGCGCAAGCCUGAUGCAGCCAUGCCGCGUGUAUGAAGAAGGCCUUCGGGUUGUAAAGUACUUUCAGCGGGGAGGAAGGGAGUAAAGUUAAUACCUUUGCUCAUUGACGUUACCCGCAGAAGAAGCACCGGCUAACUCCGUGCCAGCAGCCGCGGCAAUACGGAGGGUGCAAGCGUUAAUCGGAAUUACUGGGCGUAAAGCGCACGCAGGCGGUUCGUUAAGUCAGAUGUGAAAUCCCCGGGCUCAACCUGGGAACUGCAUCUGAUACUGGCAAGCUUGAGUCUCGUAGAGGGGGGUAGAAUUCCAGGUGUAGCGGUGAAAUGCGUAGAGAUCUGGAGGAAUACCGGUGGCGAAGGCGGCCCCCUGGACGAAGACUGACGCUCAGGUGCGAAAGCGUGGGGAGCAAACAGGAUUAGAUACCCUGGUAGUCCACGCCGUAAACGAUGUCGACUUGGAGGUUGUGCCCUUGAGGCGUGGCUUCCGGAGCUAACGCGUUAAGUCGACCGCCUGGGGAGUACGGCCGCAAGGUUA
rnacentral:rRNA from 1 species